rnacentral:rRNA from 1 species
AUUGAACGCUGGCGGCAUGCUUUACACAUGCAAGUCGAACGGCAGCGCGGGCUUCGGCCUGGCGGCGAGUGGCGAACGGGUGAGUAAUGCAUCGGAACGUGCCCAGUAGUGGGGGAUAGCCCGGCGAAAGCCGGAUUAAUACCGCAUACGACCUGAGGGUGAAAGCGGGGGACCGAAAGGCCUCGCGCUAUUGGAGCGGCCGAUGUCGGAUUAGCUAGUUGGUUGGGUAAAGGCUUACCAAGGCGACGAUCCGUAGCUGGUCUGAGAGGACGACCAGCCACACUGGGACUGAGACACGGCCCAGACUCCUACGGGAGGCAGCAGUGGGGAAUUUUGGACAAUGGGGGCAACCCUGAUCCAGCCAUGCCGCGUGCGGGAAGAAGGCCUUCGGGUUGUAAACCGCUUUUGUUCGGGAAGAAAUCCUCUGGGCUAAUACCCCGGGGGGAUGACGGUACCGGAAGAAUAAGCACCGGCUAACUACGUG